rnacentral:rRNA from 1 species
CCUACGGGAGGCAGCAGUGGGGAAUUUUGGACAAUGGGCGAAAGCCUGAUCCAGCCAUGCCGCGUGCAGGAUGAAGGCCUUCGGGUUGUAAACUGCUUUUGUACGGAACGAAAAGCCUCUUUCUAAUAAAGAGGGGUCAUGACGGUACCGUAAGAAUAAGCACCGGCUAACUACGUGCCAGCAGCCGCGGUAAUACGUAGGGUGCGAGCGUUAAUCGGAAUUACUGGGCGUAAAGCGUGCGCAGGCGGUUAUAUAAGACAGUUGUGAAAUCCCCGGGCUCAACCUGGGAACUGCAUCUGUGACUGUAUAGCUAGAGUACGGUAGAGGGGGAUGGAAUUCCGCGUGUAGCAGUGAAAUGCGUAGAUAUGCGGAGGAACACCGAUGGCGAAGGCAAUCCCCUGGACCUGUACUGACGCUCAUGCACGAAAGCGUGGGGAGCAAACAGGAUUAGAUACCCUGGUAGUCCACGCCCUAAACGAUGUCAACUGGUUGUUGGGAAUUCACUUUCUCAGUAACGAGGCUAACGCGUGAAGUUGACCGCCUGGGGAGUACGGCCGCAAGGUUGAAACGUCAAAGGAAUUGACGG